rnacentral:rRNA from 1 species
AAUUGAAGAGUUUGAUCAUGGCUCAGAUUGAACGCUGGCGGCAGGCCUAACACAUGCAAGUCGAACGGUAACAGGAAACAGCUUGCUGUUUCGCUGACGAGUGGCGGACGGGUGAGUAAUGUCUGGGAAACUGCCUGAUGGAGGGGGAUAACUACUGGAAACGGUAGCUAAUACCGCAUAACGUCGCAAGACCAAAGAGGGGGACCUUCGGGCCUCUUGCCAUCGGAUGUGCCCAGAUGGGAUUAGCCUAGUAGGUGGGGUAAAGGCUCACCUAGGCGACGAUCCCUAGCUGGUCUGAGAGGAUGACCAGCCACACUGGAACUGAGACACGGUCCAGACUCCUACGGGAGGCAGCAGUGGGGAAUAUUGCACAAUGGGCGCAAGCCUGAUGCAGCCAUGCCGCGUGUAUGAAGAAGGCCUUCGGGUUGUAAAGUACUUUCAGCGGGGAGGAAGGGAGUAAAGUUAAUACCUUUGCUCAUUGACGUUACCCGCAGAAGAAGCACCGGCUAACUCCGUGCCAGCAGCCGCGGUAAUACGGAGGGUGCAAGCGUUAAUCGGAAUUACUGGGCGUAAAGCGCACGCAGGCGGUUUGUUAAGUCAGAUGUGAAAUCCCCGGGCUCAACCUGGGAACUGCAUCUGAUACUGGCAAGCUUGAGUCUCGUAGAGGGGGGUAGAAUUCCAGGUGUAGCGGUGAAAUGCGUAGAGAUCUGGAGGAAUACCGGUGGCGAAGGCGGCCCCCUGGACGAAGACUGACGCUCAGGUGCGAAAGCGUGGGGAGCAAACAGGAUUAGAUACCCUGGUAGUCCACGCCGUAAACGAUGUCGACUUGGAGGUUGUGCCCUUGAGGCGUGGCUUCCGGAGCUAACGCGUUAAGUCGACCGCCUGGGGAGUACGGCCGCAAGGUUAAAACUCAAAUGAAUUGACGGGGGCCCGCACAAGCGGUGGAGCAUGUGGUUUAAUUCGAUGCAACGCGAAGAACCUUACCUGGUCUUGACAUCCACGGAAGUUUUCAGAGAUGAGAAUGUGCCUUCGGGAACCGUGAGACAGGUGCUGCAUGGCUGUCGUCAGCUCGUGUUGUGAAAUGUUGGGUUAAGUCCCGCAACGAGCGCAACCCUUAUCCUUUGUUGCCAGCGGUCCGGCCGGGAACUCAAAGGAGACUGCCAGUGAUAAACUGGAGGAAGGUGGGGAUGACGUCAAGAUGAGAAUGUGCCUUCGGGAACCGUGAGACAGGUGCUGCAUGGCUGUCGUCAGCUCGUGUUGUGAAAUGUUGGGUUAAGUCCCGCAACGAGCGCAACCCUUAUCCUUUGUUGCCAGCGGUCCGGCCGGGAACUCAAAGGAGACUGCCAGUGAUAAACUGGAGGAAGGUGGGGAUGACGUCAAGUCAUCAUGGCCCUUACGACCAGGGCUACACACGUGCUACAAUGGCGCAUACAAAGAGAAGCGACCUCGCGAGAGCAAGCGGACCUCAUAAAGUGCGUCGUAGUCCGGAUUGGAGUCUGCAACUCGACUCCAUGAAGUCGGAAUCGCUAGUAAUCGUGGAUCAGAAUGCCACGGUGAAUACGUUCCCGGGCCUUGUACACACCGCCCGUCACACCAUGGGAGUGGGUUGCAAAAGAAGUAGGUAGCUUAACCUUCGGGAGGGCGCUUACCACUUUGUGAUUCAUGACUGGGGUGAAGUCGUAACAAGGUAACCGUAGGGGAACCUGCGGUUGGAUCACCUCCUUA